UACGUAGGGUGCAAGCGUUAAUCGGAAUUACUGGGCGUAAAGCGUGCGCAGGCGGUUCGCUAAGACCGAUGUGAAAUCCCCGGGCUUAACCUGGGAACUGCAUUGGUGACUGGCGGGCUAGAGUAUGGCAGAGGGGGGUAGAAUUCCACGUGUAGCAGUGAAAUGCGUAGAUAUAUGGAAGAACACCAAUAACGGCGAAGGCAGUUAACUAUUCUGUUACUGACAUUGAGGCACGAAAGCGUGGGGAGCAAAACGG
rnacentral:rRNA from 1 species